rnacentral:ncRNA from 2 species
CGGGUCCGAUGUGACUGGCGACGUUAAGUGGGGAACCACGGUGGAGCAUCGGACGAUAUUGGCCGGUCGCCUGGGCAAAGAGC